AUUAUAUUUUAGACAAGUCCUUGUGAUUUGAGAAGGCUAAAUUUAUUAAAACAUAGGCUAUGAUCAACUCAUUGUCUGCCGCUGGCCGCUUGGCCAUUAGCCUACUUAAAAAAAAAACUUACAUUUAACUAACAAAAAAAUGCUCCAAACGUUUUUGUAAAUUAAUUUUAUAAAGAAAAGAAACGAAAUAUAACUUUUACGUUACAUACAAAACUGAACUAUUUUAAUAGCUGAAACAGUAGUAUAUAAGCUGUUUUGGGAGAAGGGGAAAAAAAGACUGGAUAGGGCCUAUAUUUGAGGUCCGUGCAGGGCGCUAAUCUACUGUUGUUUUGUUCUCUGUUAUUUUCAUCUGUGAGCAUGCUCUUGAUGUAUGCAUUUCACAAUUUUGUUGAGUUUAAAACGUUUGACAAAUUCGUUCUGCUCUUGCUGUUCGUUCGGCAGACACCCCCACCACCUUGCAAAAAAAAAAAAAAAAAAAAAAAAAACACAGAGGAAAUACUGCAGACGCUGCCGGGACGGAAGACAGUAAAUUGGCAAACAAUGACAAAUUGUUUAUACUUCAUAUAACACACCAUAUGCAUUCCUGUAACUUUCACUAGCAAAUAAUAAAAAGAAAGAAAAAAAAAGAGUGCGGUGAUGACCUAAACACCGCGGUCGACAUCUUCCCAGCAAACACAGUACGUUGUGACGACGUCGUCAGUUAGUCGUCAUUUGGUCAGCGUUACAUUACUUUAUGACAAUGUUGUGAGGACGUCGUGGUAAUGUUCCAUUUUUUAGAAUCUUGGCUAACGUUCCAGAAACGUCGCGGGCACGUCCUCAAAAGACGUCGCUGGUUAAUACCACGGAGAACGUUGUAGCGACGUGGUCCACAGGUCUCCUGAUAACUUUCCAGAUAUUGCAUUAAGCCAACAUUAUGUUUGUUAAUAUGGCAUUUGGAUAUUAUGAGUAAAUUUAAUUGAUUCAGCUUUUUAAACGAAUCGACAUAGUUUUAUUUAUAUUUGAGAUACCUAAUAGCCUACUACAUAUUCAUAAAAUAUUUGCCAGCAAAACUACCUAACAUUUACUUAAUAAAUUGUGAUUAUUCAUAUGUUUGUGAACAAGAGGUUUACUGAAUGACAACGUUGUGAGGACGUCGUGGUAAAGUUCCAUUUUUCUUUUUUAAGAAUCUUGGCUAACGUUCCAGAAACGUCGCGGGCACGUCCUCAAAAGACGUCGCUGGUUAAUCCCACGGAGAACGUUGUAGCGACGUGGUCCAUUGGUCUCCUGAUAACUUUCCAGAUAUGUAACUUUUUGUGUUCAAAAUUUACAAAAAUUAUACAAUUGGAAUGUACAACAUGAAUACAUUUUCCAAACCGUGUUUUUGUUGUACCCUGAAUCAUUAUGGUACACCUAGAUAAGUGUUUAUAUUCGGACUAUUUUAGACCAGUCUGGUAGGAACCGCUGCGGAGUAGCACAAAUACCUGCGUGAUUCGUCAUAGACAUAAACAGAGAGAAGUAGCUCCGGCUACAAUGUUCUUCCGCAAGAUGCAUGCCGUUCUGUUUAACCGUUAGAGCGCCAAAAGUUAUGGACAUGUUUAUAUAUUAUAUGUUGUGUUUGUGAAUGAAGGAGAUUUAUUGGAUGUGGCACGCGCGAGACAAAUUCGAAAUUUUAAAUGAGCAAGUCUAACGGACUUUCGGAGAAUCUUGAGUACUGCGCAUGCGCAUCAUUUUGUUCUGUAACGGUCGACUUCCAGCAGACGGACACGGAGUAAAAGCAGCUGGAGGAGAGACAGCCUGUGCAGCAACAACAAGACAACAAUGAUUAUAAGCAGGGAUAAUCUCCAGGUGGACUGCACGGGUCCAGGAUCAAGAGAUCAUUCAUCAUGCAGACCAUGUUCCAGGAGAAAGAGCGUAUACUGGGUCUGCUUGAUCAUUUUGUUGUCCUGGAUGUGAGAACAUGGUCAAAAGCUGCCAGAGGAGGAUGAUGAUGGCAGUGGUGACCGAGGUGACAGUGCAGCUCAGGAUGAAGAAGAGGAGGAACAUCUUCCAGUUUGCCAAAUCCAAAGUGAAUAUAUAGAGACCAUCCUCCUAUCCUUGCCUCAGAAGAACCUGAGAAAGACCCUCUUCCUCUUCUCUCACAGCUCUCCAUCAUCUACCUCUGCAACACUGUUGGCAAGAGUGUUAUACACAGCUGAGGACACGGUAAUGAGAGAUCUCAAAUUCUUCCUGAG